AAAUAUCUUCUAUAUCAUAAUUUUGCAUAUAAUAUGUAAUGCUUCUGUGAAUUUGAGGGCAUUCUAUGACUAUUAUUAUUAUUAUUAUUUGGAAAUUCUCUAAUACUGUGUUUUAAAAGUUUUGGAAAGGGAGAAAAACUCCAGAUGAAAUACUGAAGGGGUAAUUGAUGUAGUUCUGUCCCAGUGAAGGGAGCUUAUGUUCCCCCCUUCACUGGGACAGAACCUGCAUCAAUGACUAGGGCAGCAGCUGGAGCUUCUGACGCUCACGCUCCGGUCACCUGUUUGUUUUGGUGCUCGUCCUCUCACCACGCUGGGCUCCAGUUCCUUCUUGGAUAAACUGAACCAGUUGGAGCAUGAGAUUUCCAAGAUUCUUCCCAGCUCUACAAGUUGAUAACUUCUUUGUACGUCAAAGAAUCCCACAUAGACUUAGAUUACGGCAGGCUCUCUCUCAUAACCAAGAAAAAAUUCUGGCCAAUUUUCAGACAUGGAAUAAUGCUCCGUAUCAGUAUACAUUAAGAUUAAUUUAUUCUAAGAUUAAUUAAUUCAGCAUAAUAAGUAUCUGCUUAUGUGUAAUUAAAAGGAAAUUAUUUUAAGGGAACCUGAGCUAAUCAUCGUGUUUGUUUUUUGAAUAUCAGCAUGAUAAAUUAACUUAUUGUGUUCCAUUAAGAUAACCAGUUCAUUGCGGGCAAGGAUGGCAUAUGAAAUCAAGCCCAGUAUCUCAUUUCUCCACUUUAGGUUUUAGUUUCUCCUUAUAUUUAUUUUUUAAGACAAGUUUUUAUUUUACAGGUAGGAUUUCCUCUCCUCCCACAGUCUCUGCAGAGCUGAAAUUUUCAAAGCUUUCUUUUUUCUUUUUAGUUGUGCUCCAUGAUUUCUCACCAGUGCCCACUUCUUAUAACAAAAAAAAUGAACUAAGUUGAAAUAGGAGCCUCUUGUCUAUUUAGCAAAUACUCUCUGUGCACAGCCUAUAGUCCUAGCAGUGUUAGAACACUGGAAGGGAAUGGGGUGGCCAUGACCUUGAGAAGCUCAGGCCUUCUCAAUGCCCUGGAAAAAGUGGAAGCCAUAUUCAGUAUAUUGAUGUCAUGAUAAGGAUGAUACUUAACAAAUAAUACUUUUUAUCUUUUCAACAAAAAAUCCUUAGCAACAAUUGCUUAUGAAAUACACAUUUGAAACUUUAACAAUCACGGUAUUGGUUUGAAGCAGAGCCUUAGUAAUGUCCCUUAGUGGUUGUCGAAACCAACUGAAAAACAAGAUAAUUAGUGAAUUGAAGUAAUUAAUAAUAUUUUGUGAUAAGCACCACUAACAAAGAAGUAAAGACAAGUACAUGAAAUGACAGCUGCCGUACAUAAGAAUCACAUUUCCCUUCCCCUCCUAAAGAAUCCUAGUAGGAUAUCUUAUAAAAAGAGAGCUUCUGGGGUAAGGUGACUUAGAGGGAGAAAAAAACAUGCAGAUAUAACCUACAAAAGGCAUCCCAGUCUAUUCUUUGCUUAGAGACUGCAGCAUAGACACUGUUCCCAUGAGGCAGGGUCCCACAGGGUUAAAAACCUAUCUAAAACAAUUCUGCAGAGGCAGCCUCUGACAUUGCGUUGAAAGGGUCCACGCACUCUGUGAGCUCAUAUUUAUGACAUACAUAGGGUUCUCUUUGCUGGGCAGUUCUUUCCCUUGUGUUGAAGAGACACGUGAUAGUUGACCCUCACCUCACGGCUCCCUCACUUGUGAAUUAAAGUCAGACACUGCCGUAAGGUUCUUCUGGUUCCUGCUUUGUGGAGAAAGCUUUCAGCAGCAAUAUCUGGGAUCACUGGUGUAUUAAAUGUCAGGCCUCGCAUCAUUAUUCUGCCCUGAGCUGAUGGUAAACCGGGCACCCAGCCUUUUAGCUUUCAUCCAGCACGAGGGAACUUGCCUUCAGAUGUGACACGUACAAGUCAAAAAAGCUCAGAGUCAGCUCCAACGUCUAUUGGAUCCCACUCUAUCGCCUUUAAAAAGGAAAAGAAAAUCGAAUUCACAGAACCGAGGCUAAAUACGACCGUUAAGAACGGACUGCAUUCACCAUAUUUCCAUGAGAGUGGCAAAGAGAACAAAGAUAAAUGCCAGGCUACAUCUUGGAUCCUUUGCCAGCUUGUGGAAGAACUUAGCAGAAAAAGAUGUGAACUCUACUGUUUAG
rnacentral:lncRNA from 1 species